GGAAUUUCGCCUGCUUCCGGUUUCCUCUGCCCGGCGCUGCGUUCCGCGUUCUAGGUUUGCGGGGGCCUGCGGUUUUCCCGCGCGCUCGCCCGCCCCGAACGCCGCGCUGGGACUGAGGGAGACGGAGGGAGGCGGCGGGGCUGCGUGCUCCAUCCGGGCCGUGCGGGGAAACCAGCCUGAGGAGGUGCGCGAGGGCCUCAAAACCCACGGCAGCCCGGAGGGAGCGAGGGCGGCGUUGGAAGGCUUGGCGGCUCCGGCGCCUGCGGGACGCCCGGAGGAUUCUGGACCUGUUGCCUUCAGCUUCUCUGCUUUCACGUUGGUUUCCCCGGGUGCUGAGGGCACAUUUUGGAUCUCCGAGGUAGCUCCUUACCGUACUUUCAGCCUCUUGCAGCUUGUCUUCGGAGCCCGAACGUAACUGCCCGGAACCGCGGUGGCAUUGCAGAGCAGGAUGUAAAUAAUGGAUGGCUGUUCAGCAGCGUCGACCUUCUUGACUGACAGCUUAGAGCUGGAGCUGGGGACAGAGUGGUGCAAACCCCCCUGCUUUUCUUGCGCUUUUGACAACAGAGAAGGAAAAUUCUCUGGAGAGUCCUACCUUGCCAGUGGCGCCCUUAAGCGGUUAAUUUUAAAUCUUGAUCCAUUACCAACUAAUUUUGAAGAGGAUACAGUAGAACUAUUUGGCUUCCAAUGGGUUACAGAAACAGCGCUAGUCUAUUCCUGUAGAGAGCUCUUUCAUUUAUUCAGGCAACAGAUAUUUAACUUGGAGUCCUUGGUACAAGUCAGCUGUGAUUUUGGGAAAAUAGCCACCUUGCACGCCAAAGCAGACAGUAUUAGGCAACAAUGUGUAGUGUUCCUUCACUACAUUAAAGUUUUCAUCUUCAGGUGUCUGAAAGUACAGGAAGCAGAGAGCCACAGUCGCCCUGCCCAUCCCUAUGAGGCUUUGGAAGCCCAGCUUCCCUCCAUGUUGGUCGAUGAGCUCCGUGGAUUACUUCUGUACAUUGGACAUCUAGCUGCACUUCCCAGUGUUACUGUAGGAGCGUUUGUAAAUCAAAACCAGAUGAAGCUCUUCCCUCCAUCAUGGCAUUUAUUACAUCUCUAUUUAGAUACCCACUGGCUGGUGUUGGAAAUACUGCAUAUUCUGGGAGAAAAAUUGAAACAAGUUGUUUAUGGUCGUCAGUUUAUUGGUCAGGCAGGUGACAAUUUAACCAAUGUCAGCCUCUUUGAAGAACAUUGUGAACAUCUUUUCUGUGACUUAAUAUGCCUGUCACUCAACAGAUUUGACAAGGUCAUGCCUUCAGAAGCACUACUGAUUAGUCACUGCCCAUGCUCCUGUGUUAAAGAAUUAUGGGUUCUACUUAUUCAUCUUUUAGACCACAGAAGGAAAUGGUCUGUUGCAGAUUCAUUUUGGAAUUGGUUGAAUAAACUACUUAGAACACUUUUUGAAAAGUCAAGUGACCAACGAAGAUCUUCUGUGUCUCUAACCCAGGCCAAGGAUCCAUUAGGCUUUAGUUGGUGGAUUAGUGUUCAUGUAGCAUCAUUGUACCAGAUUGAUCGCCAUGGUGUGUCAGACAAAAUGAAACAGAUGGAAUCCAAUUGGAGCUUUAUAGAAGAACUUUUGAAACGGUCCGUCACUGUUCAGGAUAGUAUACUAGAAGAACAAUUGCGAAUGCAUCUUCAUUGUUGUUUGACACUUUGUGAUUUCUGGGAGCCAAAUAUUUCAGUUGUCACCAUUUUAUGGGAGUAUUAUUCUAAGAACCUGAAUAGCUCCUUCAGUAUUUCCUGGCUUCCUUUGAAAGGCCUUACCAAUAUUAUCAAGUCUCCACUGUCGAUGCUUACACUGGUGAGGAACUGCUGUAGUGAUAAACAAGACCCUGACCUCUAUAAGUCCAGCAGCAGUUACAUCAUUUUUCUUUGCAUUCUGGCAAAAGUUGUUAAGAAAGCAAUGAGAACCAGCGGCCCUCACCCUUGGAAGCAAGUUAAAGGAAGAAUAUAUUCUAAGUUUCAUCAAAAAAGAAUGGAAGAACUAACUGAAGUUGGCCUACAGAACUUUUUCAGCCUUUUUCUACUGUUAGCAGCUGUUGCAGAGAUAGAAGAUGUAGCAAGCCAUGUUUUAGACCUCCUUCGUUUCCUCAGGCCUGCCUCCAUGUCAUCUCAUGGAGCCCUUGUUUGGAAGGGUCAGAUGGCAUUUCUCCUGAUGUAUGCCCAGAAAAACUUGGACAUUGGUGUUUGGGCUGAGAAACUGUCAUGUGAAUUCCAAGAGAAAGCAAAGGAAUUCUUGGUAUCUAAGAAUGAUGAAAUGGUACAGAGACAUGCUCUAUGGACACUGCUUUGCAUCUAUAUUGAUGGUGUUCAAGAAGUAUUUGAGACCAGCAGUUGCUUGUAUCCUUCUCAUGAGCAUCUUCUCAAUGAUGGAUUUAGCAUGUUACUGCCAGCCUGUCGAGAAUCUGAACUUAGGACAGUCCUGAACUUUCUACAAGCUGUUCUGGCGAGAAUCAGGAGUGUUCAUCAGCAAUUGUGUCAGGAACUUCAAAGAGAGAAUGUGGACCUAACUGUGCAGUCUUCAUUAUCGGCUAAAGAGCGCCCCCUGGCUGCCGUCGCUGGUGCACUGUGGAGGCAUUUCUUUUCCUUUCUCAAGAGUCAGAGAAUGACACAAGUUGUGCCUCUCUCCCAGCUUGCAGAUGCCGCUGCAGAUUUUACUUUGCUGGCAGUGGACAUGCCAAACACAGCACCACCAGAUCUUCAGCCACAGCCAGUUAUAUCAAUAAUUCAGCUUUUUGGUUGGGAUGAUAUCAUCUGGCCCCAAGUUGUAGCAAGAUAUUUAAGUCAUUUGCUACAAAAUAGCAGCACAGUAUAUGAAGCACUUUCUCAGUCAAGUUGCGUGUCUUCUCAGUCCUUAACUAUAAGAUCAUGGGUCCGUUGUGUUUUGCAAAUGCACAUAAAACACCUCUCUGACCCUGACUUGCUGAUUGAUGUGAAUCCUGAACAGGCCGUGGAAAAAGAGUACAUGGAACAGCUGGCUGAAAUGACAAGAUUACUAUUUACACUCUCAGAAGUAAAGAGUGUCUUCUCAAAGGCUCAAAUAGAGCAAUUACCCAGCCCAGACGAUCCCAAGCAAGCGCUUAUUCAGUUCCUGGAGGCUGUUGGUGUGACUUACAGGACUCUGCAGACAUUUUCUGAUAAAUCUGCCAUGGUCACAAAGUCCUUAGAAUACCUUGGUGAAGUAUUAAAAUAUAUAAAGCCUUAUUUGGGGAAAAAAGUUUCCAGUGCAGGGUUGCAGCUGACUUACGGGAUAAUGGGAAUUCUUGUUAAGUCAUGGGCACACAUCUUUGCCACCUCUAAAGCACAGAAGCUACUUUUUCGGAUAAUAGACUGUUUGUUGCUGCCACAUACAGUGCUACAGCAAGACAAGGAGCUGCCUGGACCCAUGCUGACUGCAAUUCAGAAGACGCUUCCUCUCUAUCUACAGGGCAUAUGUAUUGUAUGCUGCCAGUCUCAAAAUCCAAAUGCCUACUUGAAUCAGUUGCUGAGGAAUGUCAUUGAGCAGUACAUAGGGAGGUUUCUCCCAACCUCGCCCUGUGUUUCAGAUCUGGGACAGCACCCUGUUCUGUUGGCACUGAGAAACCCUGCCUCUGUUCCCUCGAUGACGCCUCUAAGAAAGCACACUGUCCAUGCCAUAAGAUUGGGGGCACUCCUCUUCAUGGGAAGGCCAGAGGACAACCAAAGAAGACAUGUCUUAUUGUCAUCUUUCUUUCUUUGAGACACUGGCUUAGAUUGCCCAAGAGGCUGGGUUGGUAGUCCACCCCAGAGAUCAUCCUGGCUCUUCCUCUGUAGUAAUGACAUUACAGUAUAAGCAGCCAUGCCUGAGCUUUUAUUUCUGUUUUGGGGAUCGAACUCAGGCCCUUAUGAUUACAAUGCAAGAAAUCCUACCUUGAGUUCAAAGGGUCCUCACCCCCUCCUCGAUUAGCAUCCGUAUUGGCCUUCGUCCUUCAGCUCUUCAAGGACACCGAAAUGGGUGCCUGUGACCUUGAGCUGCUCCUUCCUGGCAUCCUGAAAUGUUUGGUGUUGGUAAAUGAACCCCAAGUUAAAAAGCUGGCCACAGAGAACCUGCAGUGCAUGGUACAAACCUGCCAAGUGGGGUCAGAAGGAGGACCUGCCACCCAGCUGACUUCUCUGUUUAGGCAGUUCAUCCAGGACUAUGGUAUGCAAUACAGUUAUCAAGUAUACAGCAUCCUAGAGACAGUAGCAACGCUGAAUCAGCACGUUGUCAUCCAAUUGAUUCCUACCCUCACUCAGUCUCUGAAGGAUUCAGAGCUCAAAUGGGGCCUCGGCAGAAAUAUUGCACAAAGGGAAGCAUAUAGCAGACUUUUAUCUGGCCUAGGACAGGUAGGACAGGGCGAGAAGCAGAGACUGGAAAAGUGACGAACUGUGACGAUGCUGCUGCCUUCCUGCCUGGGAGGUCUCUGUCUACAGCUCUGUGGGCUACCCCAGCUGCUACUGUGAUUAAUUGUGUACUGUUGUAUCACAAAUAAUUCCCUUCAUUGCCUGCAUGUAGGAAGUGUGUGUGUGUGUGUGUGUGUGUGUGUGUGUACACGUGUGUGUACGUGUGUGUACAUGAGGAGUGAAGGCUAAUUAGUAACUGUAUAAUAGGACAUAAGGAACACUGUAAAACUCUGCUCUAUCUUGAAGAGAUUUUUAAUUAAAUUAAAGAUUCUUUGAAACAAAA